GCGGAGGUCGAGGGCCGGGAGCGCGGGCCAGGCGCGGAGAGGGCAGCGAGGCAGCGGAGCGAGAGGGGAGCGGGCAGGGAGGGGACGGCAGGCGCGCGCCGGGGCCCAGUGCGAGGCCGGAGAUGGAGGUGGACCGCGGGGAGCCCAGAAACUUCCCGGCCCGGAGAAGCUCAACCAGGCCCCGAACUGAGGCCAGGCCGAGGAGGCUGGAGCCAGUGGAGGCGGAGAGGAGGAGCGAGCGAGGGGAAGGCCGGGCGGCCAGCCCGCGGCGCGCCCCCCUGCCCGGCUGCUCUCCGGUGGCCGCCGGGAAGCAGGAGCGCGCGGGGAGGACGCAGGGAGAAAAAUGUCAACUCAGUCACAUUGAAGUGAACAAGAAGAAAAAGUGCCCUUUAGGGUGAAAACACAGUGAUAUAAUUUCUGUCAUUCAGAGCCACACCAUUGCCAUGUGAUACUACCCCACCACAUAAGCCAGUUGGGCUCUGUGUGAAAACACCAUCAUUGAGCGGGA
ensembl:lncRNA